rnacentral:rRNA from 1 species
GUUUGAUCAUGGCUCAGAUUGAACGCUGGCGGCAGGCCUAACACAUGCAAGUCGAGCGGCAGCGGGGAGUAGCUUGCUACUCUGCCGGCGAGCGGCGGACGGGUGAGUAAAGUCUGGGGAUCUGGCUUAUGGAGGGGGAUAACCAUUGGAAACGGUGGCUAAUACCGCAUGAUGUCGCAAGACCAAAGUGGGGGACUUUAGRGCCUCACGCCAUAAGAUGAACCCAGAUGAGAUUAGCUAGUAGGUGCGGUAAUGGCGUACCUAGGCGACGAUCUCUAGCUGGUCUGAGAGGAUGACCAGCCACACUGGAACUGAGAAACGGUCCAGACUCCUACGGGAGGCAGCAGUGGGGAAUAUUGCACAAUGGGCGGAAGCCUGAUGCAGCCAUGCCGCGUGUGUGAAGAAGGCCUUAGGGUUGUAAA